CAGUCGCCGCGGUAAUACGGAGGGUGCAAGCGUUAUCCGGAUUUAUUGGGUUUAAAGGGUCCGUAGGCGGAUCUGUAAGUCAGUGGUGAAAUCUCACAGCUUAACUGUGAAACUGCCAUUGAUACUGCAGGUCUUGAGUAAAUUUGAAGUGGCUGGAAUAAGUAGUGUAGCGGUGAAAUGCAUAGAUAUUACUUAGAACACCAAUUGCGAAGGCAGGUCACUAAGAUUUAACUGACGCUGAUGGACGAAAGCGUGGGGAGCGAACAGGAUUAGAUACCCCUGUAGUCCAUGUCUCUUAUAC
rnacentral:rRNA from 1 species